CUACACAUGCAAGUCGAACGAUGAAGCCCAGCUUGCUGGGUGGAUUAGUGGCGAACGGGUGAGUAACACGUGAGUAACCUGCCCUUAACUCUGGGAUAAGCCUGGGAAACUGGGUCUAAUACCGGAUAGGAGCGCCACCGCAUGGUGGGUGUUGGAAAGAUUUAUCGGUUUUGGAUGGACUCGCGGCCUAUCAGCUUGUUGGUGAGGUAAUGGCUCACCAAGGCGACGACGGGUAGCCGGCCUGAGAGGGUGACCGGCCACACUGGGACUGAGACACGGCCCAGACUCCUACGGGAGGCAGCAGUGGGGAAUAUUGCACAAUGGGCGAGCCUGAUGCAGCGACGCCGCGUGAGGGAUGACGGCCUUCGGGUUGUAAACCUCUUUCAGUAGGGAAGAAGCGAAAGUGACGGUACCUGCAGAAGAAGCACCGGCUAACUACGUGCCAGCAGCCGCGGUAAUACGUAGGGUGCGAGCGUUAUCCGGAAUUAUUGGGCGUAAAGAGCUCGUAGGCGGUUUGUCGCGUCUGUCGUGAAAGUCCGGGGCUUAACCCCGGAUCUGCGGUGGGUACGGGCAGACUAGAGUGCAGUAGGGGAGACUGGAAUUCCUGGUGUAGCGGUGGAAUGCGCAGAUAUCAGGAGGAACACCGAUGGCGAAGGCAGGUCUCUGGGCUGUAACUGACGCUGAGGAGCGAAAGCAUGGGGAGCGAACAGGAUUAGAUACCCUGGUAGUCCAUGCCGUAAACGUUGGGCACUAGGUGUGGGGACCAUUCCACGGUUUCCGCGCCGCAGCUAACGCAUUAAGUGCCCCGCCUGGGGAGUACGGCCGCAAGGCUAAAACUCAAAGGAAUUGACGGGGGCCCGCACAAGCGGCGGAGCAUGCGGAUUAAUUCGAUGCAACGCGAAGAACCUUACCAAGGCUUGACAUGUUCUCGAUCGCCGUAGAGAUACGGUUUCCCCUUUGGGGCGGGUUCACAGGUGGUGCAUGGUUGUCGUCAGCUCGUGUCGUGAGAUGUUGGGUUAAGUCCCGCAACGAGCGCAACCCUCGUUCCAUGUUGCCAGCACGUAAUGGUGGGGACUCAUGGGAGACUGCCGGGGUCAACUCGGAGGAAGGUGAGGACGACGUCAAAUCAUCAUGCCCCUUAUGUCUUGGGCUUCACGCAUGCUACAAUGGCCGGUACAAUGGGUUGCGAUACUGUGAGGUGGAGCUAAUCCCAAAAAGCCGGUCUCAGUUCGGAUUGGGGUCUGCAACUCGACCCCAUGAAGUCGGAGUCGCUAGUAAUCGCAGAUCAGCAACGCUGCGGUGAAUACGUUCCCGGGCCUUGUACACACCGCCCGUCAAGUCACGAAAGUUGGUAACACCCGAAGCCGGUGGCCUAACCCUUGUGGGGGAGCCGUCGAA
rnacentral:rRNA from 1 species